rnacentral:misc_RNA from 1 species
CCAACAAGCUUACUGGGAGGCUGCCUGCAUUUUUAUGCAAUGGAGGAAAUUUAGUAGGAGUUGCAGCCUUCGAUAACAAUCUCAAUGGGGAGUUGCCAGAAUCGCUUGGGAAUUGCAGUAGUUUGCUUAUAGUAAGUGUUUCACGUAAUGCAUUUACUGGAAAUAUUCCUGUUGGUCUAUGGACAGCUUUCAAUUUGACAUAUCUGACGUUAAGCGAUAAUUUGUUCAUGGGUGAGCUUCCUAAUGAAGUAUCAGGGAAUCUUUCUAGGCUUGAGAUCAGNNNNAACAAGUUUUCUGGUAAAAUUCCUACUGGAGCUUCUUGGAGGAAUCUUGUGGUUUUUAAUGCCAGUAACAACCUGUUUUCUGGCACAAUCCCUCAAGAAUUAACCGC